UGAGACCGUAUCAAAGAUAAGAUGAGGGAGGCAAGGAUGUAUAUUCGGAAAGACCUAUAAAGUUAUGCAUGCUGUAUAUCUACAUAUAUCUGUAUAAAAUCUUACAUCUAAGUGAGUAAAACGAGGUAUACGUCAGGUAUAACCUUAGAGAUUUUCCCGAAUAUAAAUCCUUGCGUCCCUCAUGAACCAGCACUUGGUUUGAUGGUACGACUCCAGGUAAGCCCGAAGCCAACGGCGGUGACGUAAGCUGACCCGAGGAUCCAAGUACGAACACAUCAACGUACUGUCUCUAAGACAUUAAAACCUUGGUUCCCACGGGGACGACAAAACUUGGGUACUAUAUGUCAAGUUGAAACAAAAGACGAACUAACUACGGUGAGCUGAGGUCGGAAAAAGAAAUAACACCAGAAAGUACAUGCUCCGAUCAAGUUGAUACUUACCAAAGUUAAGUAGUAUACUAUAAAGCAUUACGACGUACUACACACACACAUAACAUGUAGAAGACUUUGUAUACUCAAUAAAACAUCCCUGUUUACCAUCUUUCAUCGUUCAGGUGUUCAACUAGCUUCUACAAGAGGACUAAAGAAAACAACUUUUGUCCCAAGUGUGUAAAACAAGUAUACCUUCAACUAAACCGAACCACUAACUUCUCAACCAGAAGGUAUUAUAAGACAUCAUCAGUUCACUAGUUCGUAAACAGAGGAUCCUUGAAACCGGUAAUACGAACAUUAUUGCACGGAGAGAGCCAUGAAUAUAGACUGAACACAUAUGAAUUACCGACAUCGAUUGAAGUCACUUCUUUUGAUUACUUAGAAGAUAUAUACAGCUUACUUACGUAACUAGUUACCAUAGAAAACGACUUAUCUUCUCACGUUAACAGACAUAUACAUAAAGCAUAACUUGUACUCAACUUAUAAUACUUACACAAAAGU
rnacentral:rRNA from 1 species